UGUUGUUGAAGAAUAAUGAAUAGUUUCUGAAUACUGAGAAGUGAGUCUAUAGAAUAAAUCAGAGAUUGAUUUAUGAGUUAUUGAUUAUGUAAUUAGAGUAUUGAGUGAUUGAAUUAUAUGAGAAGUUAUUGGAAGAUUGAUUAUGGAUGGAAGAUUAUGAUUGUUGUUUAUUGAGAGUUGUCUAUGUGUGUUUCGACAAAAGAAGUCUGUGAUUACAGAAAUUCUAUGAAUCUAG
rnacentral:lncRNA from 1 species